GGAAAGUAGCCGCAUCUCAUCACAAAUUCUCAGAUCCAAUUCAAAGAAAGAGAGAGUGAGAUGGUUUAGAAAGAACACUCACAGAAAGGAUAAGGAGAACAAAAUCUCCUUUUGCAUUUCAUGGGAUACUGUUCACGCCGGCCCUUUUCUUCAUACCUUUUCACAACACAUUUAUCUCUCACUUUUCCACCUUCCAUUUCAUACUCACUCUCUCUAUAAAAACCAUUUUCUAUCAUCUUCUCCAUUUUUACAUAAGCCAUCAAAACACCAUUUCGACAAUAUCAUCACCACUUUGUAACCAUAUCUUAAACAAUUCAUAAACUCCUCUCUUCAACCAUAAACAAUAUUGAAUGUCUCUCAUAGAUAUAAAUCUCCUUAUUUCCUCAGUCGCCGGAGCCGUUGCUAAUUUGUUCAUAUUUUUGUGUUUUUUUUUUAAGUUUUAGAUCAUUUCUUUUACUUUAUGUGAAUAAGUUUAUAUAUAUUAUAUGUUUUUAUCUUUUUUUUUUUUUAUAUUAUAUAUGCUCUCUCUUUUGUUAAUUUUAUAAUAUAUUACUGAUUAAUUUUAUUAUAUACUCUUGGUUAGUUUAUGAUGUACUAUGAGUUCAUAUAUAAUAUCAAUUGUUUUAUACAUAAUUUGUUUUUAAGUUUUGUAUAUUAUAUUUUUCGGUUUUGAGAUUCAAU
rnacentral:lncRNA from 1 species